rnacentral:rRNA from 1 species
AGCAGCCGCGGUAAUUCCAGCUCCAAUAGCGUAUAUUAAAGUUGUUGCAGUUAAAAAGCUCGUAGUUGAAUUUCGGGAUUGACGUGAUGGUCAUGCCUUAAGGGGUAUGAACUGUCACUGUUGAUUUCUCACCUUCUGGAGAAACUUGAUGUCCUUUAUUGGGUGUCUUGCGGAUCCAGGACCUUUACCUUGAAAAAAUUAGAGUGUUUAAAGCAGGCAUUUUUGCUCGAAUACAUUAGCAUGGAAUAAUAGAAUAGGACGGCAUGGUUCUAUUUUGUUGGUUUCUAGGAUCACCGUAAUGAUUAAUAGGGAUAGUUGGGGGCAUUAGUAUUCAAUUGUCAGAGGUGAAAUUCUUGGAUUUAUUGAAGACUAACUACUGCGAAAGCAUUUGCCAAGGAUGUUUUCAUUAAUCAAGAACGAAAGUUAGGGGAUCGAAGACGAUCAGAUACCGUCGUAGUCUUAACCAUAAACUAUGCCGACUAGGAAUCAGACGAUGUUAAUUUUUUAAUGACUCGUUUGGCACCUUACG